UUUUGUAUAUAAUUUAAGGUCUAGCCUGCCCACUGAAAUUUUAAAUGGCCGUGGUAUUUUGACCGUGCUAAGGUAGCAUAAUCAUUAGUUUUUUAAUUAAAAACUGGAAUGAAAGGUUGGAUGAGAAAAUAGCUGUCUCUAUUAAAUUUAAUUAGAAUUUUAUUUUUAAGUUAAAAAGCUUAACUAUUAUUAAAAGACGAGAAGACCCUAUAGAGUUUAAUUAUUUAGUAAAAAUUAUAUUUUAGUAUUAAUUUAUUUAUUUUAUUAAAUAAUUUAAUUGGGGUGAUUGAAAAAUUUAAUUAACUUUUUUUAUUUAAAAACAUUAAUUUAUGAAUAAAUGAUCCAAUAUUUUUGAUUAUAAGAUAAAAUUACCUUAGGGAUAACAGCGUAAUUUUUUUAGAAAGUUCAUAUUAAAAAAAAAGAUUGCGACCUCGAUGUUGGAUUAAAAUAAAUUUUUGGUGUAGAAGCUAAAAUAUUAGGUCUGUUCGACCUUUAAAAUUUUA
rnacentral:rRNA from 1 species